GGCAGAGUUCUGCUGUGGGGCAGGGAGGCGCUAUGGGGCAGGGAGGCGCUAUGGGGCAGAGCGGCACCCUCCGACGGCGGCACGCUAUGGGGCAGAGCCCUGCUGUGGGGCAGGGAGGCGCUAUGGGGCAGGGAGGCGCUGUGGGUCGCCGUGGGGCUGCUGUGGGGCAGCGCGGGGAUUCUAUGGGGCGCUAUGGGGCCGCUGUGGGUCGCCGUGGGGCUGCUGUGGGGCAGCGCCGGGGUCCUGUGGGGCGCUAUGGGGCCGCUAUGGGGCGCCGUGGGGGUCCUAUGGGGCGCCGUGGAGGCGCUGUGGGGCGCCGUGGGGCCGCUAUGGGGCACGGUGGGGCUGCUAUGGGGCGUAGCCACGCUGCUGUGGGGCAGCACGGCGCCGCUAUGGGGCACGCUGGGGCCGCUGUGGGGCGCCGUGGGGCCGCUAUGGGGCACGGCCAUGCUGCUAUGGGGCGCGGCCACGCUGCUAUGGGGCAGCACCGAGCCGCUGUGGGGCGCCGUGGGGGUUCUAUGGGGCGCCGUGGGGCCGCUAUGGGGCACGGUGGGGCUGCUGUGGGGCGCGGCCAUGCUGCUAUGGGGCAGCCCAGCCCCGCUAUGGGGCGCGGUGGCGGCGCUAUGGGGCACGCUAGGGCCGCUAUGGGGCACGGCGGGGUUGCUAUGGGGCGCGGCCACGCUGCUAUGGGGCAGCCGGGCUCCGCUAUGGGGCACGCUGGGGCCGCUAUGGGGCGCAGUGGGGCUGCUAUGGGGCGCGGCCACGCUGCUAUGGGGCAGCCCAGCCCCGCUAUGGGGCGCGGUGGGGCCGCUAUGGGGCGCGCUGGGUCCGCUAUGGGGCGCCGUGGGGCUGCUAUGGGGCGCGGCCACGCUUCUAUGGGGCAGCCGGGCUCCUCUAUGGGGCGCCGUGGGGGUCCUAUGGGGCGCCGUGGGGCUUCUAUGGGGCGCCGUGGGGCCGCUGUGGGGCGCGGUGGAGGCGCUGUGGGGCGCGGUGGGGCCGCUAUGGGGCGCGUUGGGGGCCCUGGGGGUCUUGGCCGCUCUCCGGCCCCACACAUCCCCGGCUCUGCCCCACGGCGCCGCGGUGCUGCUGCCCGCCGCCAUGUUGCUGGCCGCCCCCUGCCUCUUCCUGCCCCUCUACCUCUUGGCGGUCGCCACCGUGGGGCGCCGAGGCCCGGAAGUGUGGGGCAGGGGGGCGGAAGUGUGGGGCGGGGGAGNGCGGCUCUGCCCCACAAGUGGUGAGUGAGGGGGUGGCUCUGCCCCACAAGUGGCAGGGAGUUAUGGGGUGCUGCCCCACAAGUGGUGAGUCAGGGGGCGGCUCUGCCCCACAAGUGGCGGGGAGGGAUGGGGCGGCUCUGCCCCACAAGUGGUGAGUGAGGGGGUGGCUCUGCCCCACAAGUGAUGAGUGAUGGCGCAGCUCUGCCCCACAAGUGGUGGGAAGGGAUGGGGUGCUGCCCCACAAGUGGUGAGUCAGGGGGUGGUUCUGCCCCACAAGUGGCAGGGAGGGAUGGGGAUCUGCCCCACAAGUGGGGAGAGAUGGGGCUCUGACCCACAAGUGGUGAGUUAUGGGGUGGUUCUGCCCCACAAGUGGCAGGGAGGGAUGGGUCUCUCUAUGGGGCACUGCCCCACAUUGCCGCCCCCCAUGGGUCCCCGUGGGUCUCUCUAUGGGGCAGUGCCCCACAUCUCUGCCCCCCUAUGGGUGUCUAUGGGUCCCUAUGGGUUUCUCUAUGGGGCACUGCCCCACAUCGCCGGUCCCUGUGGGUCUCUAUGGGUCAGUGCCCCACAUCACUGCCCUCUAUGGGUCUCUAUGGGGCACUGCCCCACAUCACUGCCCUCUAUGGGUCUCUAUGGGUCUCUCUAUGGGGCACUGCCCCUCAUCUCUGGUCUCUAUGGGUCUCUAUGGGGCACUGCCCCACAUCGCUGCCCCCUAUGGGUCUCUAUGGGUCUCUAUGGGGCACUGCCCCACAUCUCUGCCCCCUAUGGGUCUCUAUGGGGCACUGCCCCACAUUGCCACCCCCUACGGGUCUCUCUAUGGGGCACUGCCCCACAUCACUGCCCCCCUAUGGGUCUCUAUGGGGCACUGCCCCACAUCGCUGCCCCCUGUGGGUCCCUCUGGGUCUCUCUAUGGGGCAGUGACCCACAUCACUGCCCCCUAUGGGUCUCUAUGGGGCACUGCCCCACAUCGCCGGUCCCUGUGGGUCUCUCUAUGGGGCAGUGACCCACACUUCUCCCCACAGCUGCC
rnacentral:lncRNA from 1 species